AUCGCUUCUCGGCCUUUUGGCUAAGAUCAAGUGUAAUAUCUGUUCUUAUCAGUUUAAAAAAGGAAAACAUCACUAGUCAUUAGGAAAAAGCAAAUCAAAACCACCGUGAGAUGGCACCUCACACCUGUUAGCAUGGCUGUUAUAAAAAAGACAAGAAAUAACAAAU
rnacentral:snRNA from 1 species